GCCCCUGUGGCGGAAUUGGUAGACGCGACAGACUCAAAAUCUGUUGUCCGCAAGGGCGUGCUGGUUCGAGUCCGGCCAGGGGCACCA
rnacentral:tRNA from 1 species